rnacentral:sRNA from 1 species
CCGUUUAAGCCCCUCCCCAUACUAAUCACGGCAAAAACCCCUUGCCGCCGUCGACGCCUUCCCGCCGCCGCCCGACCUCGCCGUCGCCGCCGAUCUCGCCGGCCACCUAGGUGGUCAUGUAACUGAUUCCGCGCUCUAUCUUCCUCGCCUGUCUCCGCAGGUAUGCUACACGGGCGCAAAUGCGUGAGCCGGCUGGCCGCUGGCGGCGUGGUGGAGGCAUCGCCGGCGGCCACCGUGGAGAGGCCAGCCUCGUACCUCCGCCAGCUAGCAGUGUUCCAGACCAGCAGGAGCUUGGCUCUGCUGGCGCGGAACGUCCAUAACCAGUUACCGGUCCAGCAGCGAUCCCUCUAUGAUUCAGCAAGCACCUGAAGCGUGCCAGUCUUGCGCUGAGCGCUGCUAUUUCCCACUCCUUUGAAAGCUUCUCAAACGGAGUCCACAACCGCUCUUCAAAUUAACAACUGCUGCAGCACGUGGCCAAAUGGUUUGCUGAAUGUCAGACGCAUCUAUGUGUUCAGCCCACAUGCAUACCUCACCACCAAGAACCAACUUCUGCUGUGCCGGGUUCUUGAUAUUUCUCAGUGGUUCAUUCAUAUAAAAUCCAUCCCAUGUAACUUCCAAGUGAUCUAGGUACCACUUAUCCUGGUUGCUCACAAUGCAUCUCAAACCAGCAGCAACAACUUUCUCUGCAACUCCACCUCCAAGCCUGUUAUAAUUUGUGGUGAAAAAUACUAGCUGUUAAUUUCCAAUAGCUGCACAAACAGAUGAUUUCUGGCUGGGUCCUCCUAAUUAGGAGAAGAAACUGCACUAUAUAAUGGUAUUGAAACUUUUCUUGCAAUCCUUUCACCUUUUCUUAAUAAAGGUUUGCAAUCCCAUUACUUCAAUAAAUUUCCUUGUUUAAACAACAUUCCUCUAGUUUUAUAUUACUUGUUGGACAUUGCAAAAUACAGAUACUACCAUAAGUUGUUCUCUAUGAAUGGGCAUUUACUGACGUGUAAACAAACUAUGCAAACUAAUUUGUUCAAAGAGAAAUUUAGUGCCAUCACAAUGAUGUAUAAAUUGACAAAUACCAUCCAAUGUAAGCAUAACAUAUGGUCGCAGGACCAAUAUUAGAAAUAUCUAAUGACAUAUUCCAGCUUGGUGAUCUUUGCCUUCUUCAAAUGAGAAUGUGCUAUAUUUGAGAUUUGGCAAAUGUGGUCAUUGUUUCUUAUAAUAGGCAUGACAAUAUAAUUUGGCAAGAGCAUACAACUUUGUUUUAUUUUCUUUUCCUAACAAGGAUGCUGAUAAUUUUUUAUAUAAUGACAAUCAAGAGGCAGUUAGGAAAUACCAGUUAUGCACCACAGUUCUGCGGUCUAGUUUGUCUCCAAAGUUGUUAAAGGUUUCUUCCCUACAAGGACAAGAAAGUGUAUCAAUAGCUAUUUGAAAGAUCUAGAUCUGCAAAACCAAGUCACAUACCAGUUAAUAACUUCGUAGCCAUGUGAUUUUGCUAUCUUUUGAGCUCUCAAUACAAAAUAUCUGUAGGCAUCAGAUUCUUUCAUACCAUGUUGGGCCAACCUGCACACCAGGAAAAAUACUUCAGAUUAGAUCAAAUGACUGAUCAUCCCUGCUACAGAAGGACCUGGUGAUGGUGGUGAGUCGGCCAUCACCAACACAUCUACAAUUGGUGGGAUCUUCUGCAGGUAGAAAAAUAGAUGAUAAUGCAUAUGUCAUGGUUAUUUAUGGGUUGAUGCUUGGUUGCAAAAUGUUUUGGCCUCAGAAACAUAUAUAAUUUUCAUGUUUAGUUCUUAUUUUUUUAAUCUGUUCCAAGGCUCGGGUAUUUUGCUACAAUAAAGAGAAAAUAUUGUCAAUAAGUGCAUAUCAAGUAUGCUGUUGCUCUUAUUCUUUAUACUAGUUCUAGAUAAGAGCAUACCAUGCUUUAACGCGUGGUGUGGAAGUCCAGCAACCUGAAAUUCAUAGUGAGUAAUUAUUAGAUUACUAAACUACUAUAUGAUAUGAGAUCUGCUGCUCUGCAGGGGAGAUACUUUUGCAGACUUACUUGUAUUGACCUCAUCACCUCCCAAAUGGACAAACUUGAACUUAAAAACCUUGCUGAAAUCUGAAAGAGCAUCAAAAGUUAUUAGUGAAUAUUAUACAAGAUCAUCAAUUUGUUUUUCACAAUAUAUUCAUUAUUCGGUUCGUUGAACUGCUUUUUUUUUUCCUUUUGUUGGUAAGUAUAAGAUAAAUGGCUGUUUUUUUCUCUUUCAAAGUAAUAAAAGUACCACUCAAAAUAUAACGUGAUUUCUGUUGGUAAACCGUGAAUUACCUGAAAGAAUUCCAUUAAUCACUUGGAAUGUAGAUUCGCUGCUGACAUCAAGUGGUUCUUUACAAGUAGCUGAUGGCCACAACGACGGAUAACCAACACCCCUAAAACAAAAAGAAAUGCGCAAUUUAUUUGCAACCUUUUGAUAUUCCUACUGUCAUAUCUAGUUAAAUAACUUCAUCCGUAAGGCACUGUGCUUUCUGGAUUUAAAAGGUAUACCAUGAGUACAACAAAAACAAAGGAUUCAGGUUUUCAUCAGUAAAACCUGAAUAGUCAUGGAGCAUAUGCUAGAGAAGAACAGCAUUGGCAUAUUAAAUACUUACCAUGAGAGAGCAUGGCCAGGAACAUCAAUCUCAGCUAAGACAUUGACACCUCGUCGUUCAGCAUACCUGCAGAUUAUUGAUAAGUUAUCUUACCUUGGUUAAAUCCAACAGCAUAGCUAACUGAUCUCUAAAUUGAUCACAUCAUUCUCCAAAGAAGGAAUGGGUUUUAGAGUUUUGUUUUUUAUUUUCUGCUGAGUUCCCUUUGCAAUAUUUAUAUAAAUUACUUAACGUGGUUUUACUGCAUGCUCUUAGCUCCUGUUACUUCAUAGUGAAGGUAAAUAAAUUCUUAUGUCCAGCCAUAACCUUAGAGUGAUAUUUGCUAAAUUCUGCUCUUUCACAUGAAAAAUGAAAGACAGAAAAACUCACUGAACAAUGUCGAUAGCAUCAUCCAUUGUAUAUCUCUCUGAGUAAGAGUAUGCACCAUUCCAUAAUUUUGGGUAUGAAGGUAUUUCUAUAGGAAAUGACUGUUCAUCCACGAUAUGCCAAUGAAGAACAUUCUGCAUGAUGAUAGAGUAAGCAGAUUAUAUGAUGCAACUAAAACUAAAGGAAUAUCUGGAGAAGGACCAUUGCAAUGGAGAGAAUUAUCAAUCAAGAUUGAAGAACUGGUUUCUUGUGAAAAGAUCAAACCUACCAACUUGCUGUAGGUCAUCGAAUCGAUUACGCUUUUUAUUACUGGGACAGGAAGGUAAUGCCUUGAAGUAUCUGUAGGAUGCCAGUGCAUUGAGUUGAAAAAAGAUCAGGUAUUAUCUUUCCUCAAACUAUUUGAGGACAAUAGUAGAUGUAUCAGAUAAAUCCUUUAAAAGAAAGAGAUAUCAGACGCUAUUUUUACAUGCACAAUAUUUACUGAUUCUUCAUAUAAGCCUAGUAUGGAACAUGUGGAGUAAGUAUGAGCAUCCAUCUUAGAAUUAUUCAUGAUGGUGGUUAACAACACC